GAUGAACGCUGGCGGCGUGCCUAAUACAUGCAAGUCGAGCGAACAGAUGAGGAGCUUGCUCCUCUGACGUUAGCGGCGGACGGGUGAGUAACACGUGGAUAACCUACCUAUAAGACUGGGAUAACUUCGGGAAACCGGAGCUAAUACCGGAUAAUAUAUUGAACCGCAUGGUUCAAUAGUGAAAGACGGUUUUGCUGUCACUUAUAGUUGGAUCCGCGCCGCAUUAGCUAGUUGGUAAGGUAACGGCUUACCAAGGCAACGAUGCGUAGCCGACCUGAGAGGGUGAUCGGCCACACUGGAACUGAGACACGGUCCAGACUCCUACGGGAGGCAGCAGUAGGGAAUCGUCCGCAAUGGGCGAAAGCCUGACGGAGCAACGCCGCGUGAGUGAUGAAGGUCUUCGGAUCGUAAAACUCUGUUAUUAGGGAAGAACAAAUGUGUAAGUAACUAUGCACGUCUUGACGGUACCUAAUCAGAAAGCCACGGCUAACUACGUG
rnacentral:rRNA from 1 species